CUUGAAGAUGAAACAUCUGUAGAUUAUGAAAUAUUUAUAGGAAAACGCUGACAAAUGCAUGGUUGCUUCCUGGUUACUUAGAAAAUUAAAGGUGCUCCUUCAGCAAGUUAAAGUAUAUGAAACAACCAAACGUGGAUUCUAUUUGCUUCCUGUUGGGGAACAUUCAGUUGCAGCCUUACAAUGGUCUACAGGGUGGCAAGAUAUAAAGACGGGGCACGAAUAAUAUUGCAGUGAAUUUGGAAUGAUAAGCAGUAUCUUAUGCAUGGGAGAAUGGCAUCUAGAACUAGGUAUACACAUGAAAAUUGCAAAGCUUCAUAUGGAAAUUAUAAAGAUCAAAUGUCAAAUAAAUAUAAAAAUAC
rnacentral:lncRNA from 12 species